CGUGGCCUGUUUGACUGUGUCUACCCCUUCCCCCAAAAGAACAGAGAAACUCGUUAGGUUACUUGUUAGCGAGGUAGGCUCACUCUGGAGUUGCACUGGGGAACCCCAAACCAGACAUGGCACUCCAGGUGUGGGCGCAGGACAGACGGGAAGAAGGAUCACUUCCCUCGUGCUUAUACAGCUAGGCUGCUGCCGGCCUUUGUGGCUGGGGCAUGCUGCUGACUCAUGGUGAGCUCAGUGUCCACCACGAGCCUCAGCCCCUUUUCUGCAGAGCUUCUGCCCAGCUGGUCGGCCUCCAGCCUGUCCUGGUACAUCAGGUUUUUCUUCCCCAGGGCAGGACUUUUUUGAGUUUGCCUUUGUUAAAUGUCUUGAGGUUCCUGGCAGCCUGUUCCUCAGUGUGUUGUGUCCCUCCAGAUAGCAGUCCUGCCCUCCCGUGCGCUCACUGUCCCCGCCUGGUGUCAUCCAGAAGGUUGCUGAGGGAACGCCCUAUCCUGUCAUUUUUGUCGUUAGAGAUGUUGAACCGUACUAUUUGUCCUUGAGUGCUGGCACCAGCAGCCACCUACCAGCUGGACUUCGUGCCACUGAUCACCACGCUUAGCCCAGCAGCCUCAUCGUUUUUUUGCCAACUUGACUGUCUGCCUACCAGUUCAUAUCUCACCAGCUUGGUGGAAAGGAGGUCAUGCUUACGUCAAGGUACUGCUGCACUCCUGCCCCCUUUGCUAGUAGGUUUGAGGACCUGGCUGGCUGGGGGCAAACCUUCUCAGUGAAAAGUGAUGCAAAACACCCAUCAGACCUUUCUCCCUUUCUGGAAGAACUGAGUGGAUCUUGGGCUCCCAUGCCCUGUGUCAUCCUCAUCCCCCCAAGCCCGGUGGUCGCUCUUGGUAUGUGCACCCUGAUUGUAUCGCUGUCCACCACGUGGAUGAGCAGCAAGGAGUAAAAGGGUCAGACAAGCCUCAGCAGUCUCUGCAGUGUUGUGGAUCCAUAUACCCUGGUGGAAGUCUUCAAAUUUGUCAGCGGGAUCCAAAAAAGCUGGAAAGCUUUGUCUCUUGCAUCGGGGCUGGAAUUCCUGGGUGGGCUGAGAAGUACGGUAGGUAUUCAAAAAGGUAUCUCCAUGGGCACAAACAUACUAAAGCUGCACGGCGUUUAUAUUUGGGAGCAGCUUUCUUUUGGACUGAUUGCUGUGUGGAGACUUCAAAAUGUGACUCAUUAUUUCCCUCUGCUGGGCUUUGCGGAAGAGAUGUUAAAAUCAUUAGCUCUGCUUGGCUUCAGUGAGCAUGAGAGGAGCACGGCACCUAGGAAAAUCUGGACCCUCAAAAUUGCCAGGAGUGAAUUCAGGAAUUUUAGGCUGGGAAAUCACCUUUUCAGUUUGUAGGGCUGUAUUCUGUGAUUUGUGCUGCAUCUCUUCUCUGGCUGUUCCUCCCCUACCCCACUCUCCAGCUAUCCUGCUUCUUUCCCUUGUUCUCAUUCCUUUCUUUCACCUCAAACUUGGUUGUCUUUGUUUG